UACAGAGGGUGCAAGCGUUAAUCGGAAUUACUGGGCGUAAAGCGCGCGUAGGUGGUUCGUUAAGUUGGAUGUGAAAUCCCCGGGCUCAACCUGGGAACUGCAUCCAAAACUGGCGAGCUAGAGUAUGGUAGAGGGUGGUGGAAUUCCUGUGUAGCGGUGAAAUGCGUAGAUAUAGGAAGGAACACCAGUGGCGAAGGCGACCACCUGGACUGAUACUGACACUGAGGUGCGAAAGCG
rnacentral:rRNA from 1 species